GUUUCGGCAGCGGGAAUCGCGCGCGGUUCUUGAUCCAGGUAACCUCCCUCCCCCCUUCUCCGAGAUGGUCGGAGCAAUUCUGACAGUUGGGGGGUCGCUGCUCGCCGCCUGCUGCGCGCCCCUCGGGGUCCUCUGGGCCCGCCGGCGACCGAGCGUUUUUGUUUUGUUGUCUGCUGCUGCUUCUUCUUCUUCUUUUCUUCUUCCGUCGUCCGAGGUGGCCGCCGUGGUCGAGCUGGUUUCUCGGUUUGAUUGAUUGCUCGGGGGCUGCGGGGGUUUUUGUUUCUCCCCCCCCCCCACCCCCCUUCCUGUGGUCUCAUGGGUUGGUUCGGGGGGGCACCUGUGCUCUGGUUGUUUUGUUUUUCUGGCGUUGUUCUGAUCCUGGCUCUCGCCGUUGACUUGCAUUUUGCGCUGGGGAGUGUGCAAUAGGCGGCCUGCUCCUAAUAGGGCAGUGCUCUAUGACUAUAUGAGAUGACUGUGUCCAACGAUCGUAGGCUUCUAUUUUACUGUUUCUUUUCUGUGCCGAGUUCAAAGUGUUUAUGUGGCUACCAUCGUUUUUGGGUCCUUGUAGGUUCCUGUCCAUACGUAUGAUUGCGGGACGUUUCUAAUCAGCAUACGGCAAGGGGAUUUCUAAUAAGCUAUCUGCCUAAUCAGCUACCUAUCACAAAGCGAAUUAGGAGAUUGCUUACUAUAUUCUAAAGGGAUCUUCGUUGAGCCGCGGCAUCGAGACAUAACGGUAGCUCUAAAUUUAUGAUUUAUUGGACUAGUUUCAUAUGAUUGUCCUUUGUUAGCGUUAAGAUUUGUGGCAUUAAGGUUUGGAGAGUCAACAUUUGUAGAGUUAUCAUUUUGAGACUAAAGUUAAUUAAUUUUGAGCGUGAAUAGUUGAACAUCAUGCUGAAAAACUCUGCUAGUUGAGAUUUGGGCUUUAGGCGGUUUUUGUGCCUACAUACAUAUUCAUGCGUGUACCACUAUGCAAUGUUCUACUGUCUCACUUUUUUGGAUUCUCGUCCAUUCAUUCACGCAGUAUGAGCAGUUUAUUCUAGUGCCUGAUGUAAUUGAUGCUCGGCUCCCCACUGUCUUGUAGAAGAUCCCUAAGCCGCUCCCUUGAAUUUUGGACUAUGAAAAUUUAUUUUAUCACUGGUUUACCAAAUAGGCCUCUAGUCGAAUUGGAAAUCUUCUCUCUUUACAAAUUUGUUUCUGUUGAAGAAACGAGCUAGAGAUCUUGUCGCACGGUUCCAGAGGGAAGAUGAUGUAGAGGAGUCUUGAGUACCUAUUUGCUGCAUUCGGAAUGCUGUGGAUGGCUGCCAUCAUUUUCCCGGUCCCUAUUGGAGUCAUUGAGGUGCUUUUUGUGGAAGUCUCUUCCUACAAGUGGAAAGAAGGAGAGCUAAAAUGAAGACUACGGAGAUUGAACAUCAGGACUAAGUAUUGGGAUACUCGACCAUGGGCUGCAUUGGUUUUUAGUUGUACCUUUUUAGUUUGCUUUUAUUUUUUAAAUAUUUUCUGCGUUUUCUUUCUUUUCUUUAGGAGAAGCCUAUUAUUUUCUAACAAGCUAAUUGCUGCCGAGGUUCGUCAUCCUUUAUUUAAAUGGGCAAUGAUGUCAUGGUCUGAAGAAAUCAAACUCUCACUGUUCCUCUUAAGGACCAUCUUUUUGAGAAGUAUUGAAUCCUUAUAGAAAAAUCUAUAGCAACAGGUUCUAAGGUUCCAACUAACAUGCUCUGUGCAAGUUAACCAAAAGGGUGGCUGAAGGGGGUUUAGGCAGUGGAGACUCUCUGAAGCAUUUGGUUGUAUGUCAAAUUGAUAUUUUGACGUCAUCUGUGCUUAGCCGGUGUUCAAAUUUUGAGGGAAAAAAGAAGAUUACCGCUGCAGAGGCAUUACAUCCAAGACCUUUUCGUCAUAACUAAUUAGUGAAUAUAAUGUCGGCAUAAGAUCCUUAAAAUGAAAUUCAUGGUGAGUCCAGAGCAGAUGAUUCCUAUUUUGUCACUAAUUGCUAACAGCUUCUUCCUCUGCAUGCUGAUCUGGGCUUAUAUUUCUGAUCAACAUCUUCAUGUUGUUGCCAUGCGCUGUGAGAGGACAAGGAAUUUAGUCACCUAGGGUAGCAGGCCCAAUUGCGUUUGUUAUUUCCUUAAAUGACUCACUGGGUGCCUUUUAUGGAAAAACAGGCAUUGCGAGAAAGAUAUUUCAUCUAAAAGUUGGUGACAUCAACUAUUCAUCAGAAUUUUGAGAAUGAAAAAUGGUUUACUAUGAUAACCGCGCAAAUGACAUCUAUAUAUGACACCAAAAUCGAGUAGGCAGUUUUUUGGCAAGGAUCAAAAUCCACAAAUAUGAAUUCUUACAUAUUACAUACUAUCCUCCCCGUCCUCCCAUACUUUGCCAGUGAAAGUGAAUCUCAUUUGUUCUGAACAACUCAAUUUUAAAUAGCUUGUGUGCGGGAUGUGCUUCUGUAAUCCAUGGUCCCCUUCUGGAAAUCAUUUGUCAAUUUCAACCCUACUGCUCCUAUUUCUCCUGGGGGUUCUGAUUUUAAUUCCACUUUUGAGAGUGAGCAUUCUAGUAACCAUUGAUGUGUGGGUUCCUCCUAUCUGUACAGGUUGGUGCAAUCCUUAAUGUUGUUCCUAACGUGAGCCGGCGGUCACAUGUCAGUGGAAUUUGUGAUAGGAAAUCUUCUGUGUUAGUGUCCAAUACCUGCAGGGAUGUGACAAUCAUACACAUCAUGCCGCUGGUUGAAAGGCCUAUGAUUGUUUUGGCUUCUUUCCGGCCUUUUCCAGAAUCAAUGACAAGAAUAUCUUUUUCAUAGGCAAGGAUAUGACAUGGGCCAUAGAAGAAUACUAGAGGAAAGCCUGUACGUUCCGGAAGCUUGUUCCAUUUUCCUGCCAUUGACGAAAUCGUUCAGAGUUAAAUAUCCUCAAACAUAUCAGGAAAUGCAAAACAAGGGCUAUUGGUAAAAUAUUGGAUUAAAUAAUUGAUCAAAUAUUUGCUAAGUUUGAAACACAAAGUUUACAUUACUGUAUGGUUUACCUCAUUUAUGAGUUCAUUCCUCAAAGGUGAAGCACUUCCUAGAAAGGUUGUAUGAGUUUCGUAGGGCUUCGUAGUUACCAAAGUAGGAAACAGUAGUGUGACCUCAACGAAUAUGUACCAUGGGAUUUUCUUGGAGGUGCUUAUCCUUUUGAAGAGGUGUCUUAUUAAAAUCUGAAGCUAAUUACGAUAACUAGGAUGUAAAAGAUAGUGAUGAAGUGUUGAAUACUUUUUGAAAGUGAUAAAGUGACUAAUCAUGCCUCUUGAACAAGUUUUUUUUUUCAACUUAUGAAUCUGAUCUGGUAUUUGAAAAGAAGAGGAAUCUAUCCAUGCAGAGAUGUUUAUUAUUCCUGGAGGUUCGGUGUACAUUGAUGUCAUUUGUUGGACAUUUGAAAAAGUAAACUUUCCAGGAAGCAGUAACCAAUGAGGAGAUCCUUUGUGAAGCAAAGCAUGGACUUUCCCUUACGGUAGGAGCACAUCAAGCAUCAAACUUGAAUAAUGGAUGGCGUCAUUGAUCGAUUUAGAACCCAAAAGGUGAAAUAACGCACAAUAACCCUGGUUGGACUAUUCUGCUUUAAUGUAGGCCAAUUUCAUCAAAGACGGUUUUGUAAACACGCACCAACGGUCAUUCUCCCCCCCGCCCCCCCUCUCUUCCUCAGAAGUUAAAAAAAGAGGGGGAGGGGAAUGGAAUGCAAAGAUAAAGUCUGUACUGCUCACAAAUAGUAGAUCAAAAAAGUUUUUUGUAGGUGAUUCUUUGUGCAGUACCCUGAAUUAGUUAGACAAAGGGAAUGUGGAUGUAUUUCAGGAUGGUUGUAGGAUCUAGUUUGAUUAAAAUUUUGCUGGAGUUCUUGUGCUGAUUUUCGAAUUUAAAGGGUCGUAGGUUUUGGAUAGGUUUGCAUUUUUCUUUAUUUUUGCUUGUUCAGUGAUAAUGGGGCACCAACUUCUUUUUCAGAGAUCUCAAUGCUUCUGCCUUGCUGCAGUACCCACUGCUGCUGUUUUCUAACCCUUUCUCCUUUUUUCUUCCUUCUCCUGGGCAGCUGAAUGUUUCAAGCCCAUGCCCUGUGUUAGCCAUUUUGAACUAACAUAUUCUUACAUGCGCUCCUUUUCGUUACCAUUUUCCCAUGCCUAGCUGCCAAUUUUUUUCAUGUGAUCUUACUUGGAUGAUCCCAUGAUCCUUGUCUUGAUCCCUUCUUUCCUGCUAUUAUAGAUGGUAAGACAUUAUUUUUAGCCAGAAUUGCCUCAGAUGUAUGUCAUUUACAG
rnacentral:lncRNA from 1 species